CCUACGGGAGGCAGCAGUAGGGAAUUUUCCACAAUGGGCGGAACCCUGAUGGAGCAACGCCGCGUGUGUGAAGAAGGCCUUCGGUUUGUAAACCCCUGUUAUCAGGGAAGAAAGCGCGAGGGAGGAAAUGAUCUCCGUUUGACGGUACCUUACGAGAAAGCCACGGCUAACUACGUGCCAGCAGCCGCGGUAAUACGUAGGUGGCAAGCGUUAUCCGGAAUUAUUGGGCGUAAAGGGAACGCAGGCGGUCUGUAAAGUCUGAUGUGAAAGCCUUGGGCUUAACCUGAGUAGAGCAUUGGAAACUGGGAGGCUAGAGUGCAGGAGAGGAGAGUGGAAUUCCAGGUGUAGCGGUGAAAUGCGUAGAUAUAUGGAGGAACACCAGUGGCGAAGGAGGCGCUCUGGUCUGCAACUGACGCUCAGGUUCGAAAGCGUGGGUAGCAAAUAGGAUUAGAUACCCUAGUAGUC
rnacentral:rRNA from 1 species